rnacentral:rRNA from 1 species
UAAGGAAUAUUGGUCAAUGGACGCAAGUCUGAACCAGCCAUGCCGCGUGGAGGAUUAAGGCCCUCUGGGUUGUAAACUCCUUUUAUCUGGGCAGAAAUGUACUUUUUCUUGAGUACUUGACGGUACCAGAGGAAUAAGCACCGGCUAACUCCGUGCCAGCAGCCGCGGUAAUACGGAGGGUGCAAGCGUUAUCCGGAUUUACUGGGUUUAAAGGGUGCGUAGGUGGGCUUAUAAGUCAGUGGUGAAAUCUCCGAGCUUAACUUGGAAACUGCCGUUGAUACUAUAGGUCUUGAAUUAUCUGGAGGUAAGCGGAAUAUGUCAUGUAGCGGUGAAAUGCUUAGAUAUGCCAUAGAACACCAAUUGCGAAGGCAGCUUACUACAUAUAAAUUGACGCUGAGGCACGAAAGCGUGGGGAU